UACGUAGGGCGCAAGCGUUGUCCGGAAUUAUUGGGCGUAAAGAGCUCGUAGGCGGUUUGUCGCGUCUGCCGUGAAAACCCGAGGCUUAACCUCGUGGCUUGCGGUGGAUACGGGCAGACUAGAGGUAGGUAGGGGAGAAUGGAAUUCCCGGUGUAGCGGUGAAAUGCGCAGAUAUCGGGAGGAACACCGGUGGCGAAGGCGGUUCUCUGGGCCUUACCUGACGCUGAGGAGCGAAAAGCGUGGGGAGCGAACAGG
rnacentral:rRNA from 1 species